rnacentral:rRNA from 1 species
GACGGGGGGGGCAAGCGUUGUUCGGAUUUACUGGGCGUAAAGGGCGUCUAGGCGGGUCAUCAAGUCAGAUGUGAAAUCCCACGGCUUAACCGUGGAACUGCAUUUGAAACUGGUGGUCUUGAGUACGGAAGAGGAAAGCGGAAUUCCUGGUGUAGCGGUGAAAUGCGUAGAUAUCAGGAAGAACACCGGUGGCGAAGGCGACUUUCUGGUCCGAUACUGACGCUAAAGCGCGAAAGUGUGGGGAGCAAACAGGAUUAGAUACCCCGGUA